rnacentral:lncRNA from 1 species
AUGUUAGGUGUUGGGUGACAUCACCCUAAUUUACCUAUGGACUGUUCAACCAUGCUUAAACUAUGGAGGGUUAUAAAGAGCUUACCAUGGAUACAAAGUUUGGAUUGAUUAUAGUAAAACGUCCAUAGAGCAAAGGUAAGUUUUAUAAAUGCUUUUCAAAUGUGAAAAUGCUUGUCCUAAACCGUAAUAAUAUGGCAAGGAUGUUGUAUGCAUGUACAUAACCUGUGCACUCAUACACAUGAUAUUUGUGGUCCCUUACACGUGCUACUACGGCAUGAUUUGUCUAGUUUACACCUGUGGUGUAGAGGACAUUAAUUGUAGGAUGAUGUGUCACGUGUUGACGCUGGGUUAUGAUGAUAUGGGCGGGUACAAAUUCAUGGUGAAAUAAUGUGCUUUACAACUCGUGUAUAUUCAUGAACUCAUCGAAUAGCUGGGCUUUUAAGCAUGUGUCACAGGUGAUGGCGCGUGAUCAUUGCUCAUAAUCCCAGACUUGUGAUAGUGUGGUAGAAAUGUAUAUCCCAGAUCGGUGUGAUCUGGUGGAAGUGUUGUUACGUCAGGCUAGACUUAGUCAGAUUAGAUGUUAUAAUUUGAGUUUC